GGAGGGCUGGCCGAACGGUAAGGCACCGGUCUUGAAAACCGGCGGGCGCAAGCCCUUGGAGGUUCGAGUCCUCCGCCCUCCGCUA
rnacentral:tRNA from 1 species